rnacentral:rRNA from 1 species
UAGCGAACAAGUACCGUGAGGGAAAGGUGAAAAGCACCCCGAUGAGGGGAGUGAAAGAGACCUGAAACCGAACACCUACAAGCAGUCGGAGCCUCCUUGCGGGGUGACGGCGUACCUUUUGUAUAAUGGGUCAACGACUUAGUGUAACUAGCAAGCUUAAGCCGGUAGGUGUAGGCGCAGCGAAAGCGAGUCUGAAUAGGGCGAAUAAGUACGUCGCAUGACGACCCGAAACCAGGUGAUCUAUCCAUGAGCAGGUUGAAGGUAAGGUAACACUUACUGGAGGACCGAACCGGUGAAUGUUGAAAAAUUCUCGGAUGACUUGUGGAUAGGGGUGAAAGGCCAAUCAAA